AAAAGAAUAUCCUGAAAUUAAGCAAUUAUUGCAAUGUAAUAGUCUGCAAAAUAAGGAUAGGAUAAAGGAUAACUAUUAUAGCAAAGAGUAUAGUGUCAAAUAUCCUGAGCCAAAAUGUGAAUAGACGUUUAUAUAAAGAUGAUUUGUUACAACUUUCCCGAUCAAUAAUAGAAGUAUUUCCAUCGGAAGUUAGAGAAAUCUAUUACGUACCCUUUACAAAAGGUCAUUUGGCAAAGGGUAAAUUGUUUGACGCAUACAAUAAUAAGAGAACACAAUUAAGUGCAGCAGGACUGAUAAAUAGACGUGAAAACGUGAAAAAGAAAUCAAAUCAUACGCAAUUGUCGGAAGAUCACGAAACUGGCAUAUCAGCAGAUGAAUUGAAAAUUCUUGAAACAACGAAUGUAGAUUGGAAGAAAACAAGAGAACUUUGGAUUAAAUCUCAUUCCUAUCGACAAAACGAAUUACAAAACAACGAGUUAAGUACUAUUGACUAUAUACAAAAAUACAACAUUCAUCUUAAUGAGAACUUUCAU